rnacentral:rRNA from 1 species
AAUCAACGCUGGCGGCGUGCCUCAGACAUGCAAGUCGAACGAUUAAGACUCUCUUCGGAGAGUGCAUAAAGUGGCGCACGGGUGAGUAACACGUAAGUAAUCUACCGUUUGGGUGGGGAAUAACAGUCGGAAACGACUGCUAAUACCGCAUAAUGCAGCGGCUCCUUAUGGAGACAGUUGUUAAAGAUUUAUCGCCUAAAGAGGAGCUUGCGGCAGAUUAGCAGUUGGUAAGGUAACGGCUUACCAAGGCGACGAUCUGUAUCCGACCUGAGAGGGUGGUCGGACACACUGACACUGAAUAACGGGUCAGACUCCUACGGGAGGCAGCAGUCGGGAAUUUGGGCAAUGGGCGAAAGCCUGACCCAGCAACGCCGCGUGAAGGAUGAAGUCUUU